rnacentral:rRNA from 1 species
UACGUAGGGUGCGAGCGUUGUCCGGAAUUACUGGGCGUAAAGAGCUCGUAGGUGGUUUGUCGCGUUGUUCGUGAAAACUCACAGCUCAACUGUGGGCGUGCGGGCGAUACGGGCAGACUGGAGUACUGCAGGGGAGACUGGAAUUCCUGGUGUAGCGGUGGAAUGCGCAGAGUAUCAGGAGGAACACCGGUGGCGAAGGCGGGUCUCUGGGCAGUAACUGACGCUGGAGGAGCGGAAAGCGUGGGGAGCGAACAGG